UUACUUAGGCGUCGACUCAAGGUUCAAUGAUGUUUUCAACAAUGGAAUGUUAAGCCACACUUCUAUUGUCAUGGAGAAGGUCCUAGAAUCAUACAAAGGCUUUGAGCAUGUUAAAAAGCUUGUGGAUGUUGGCGGUGGCUUGGGGAUCACUCUUAAUAUGAUAAUUUCAAAAUAUCCUCAUAUUAAGGGUAUUAAUUAUGACUUACCUUAUGUCAUUAAAGAUGCCCCAUCUUAUUCAGGUACUUUAUUUAUAAAAUUUGUAUAGUAUUUUUGUUAAUGAUUCAUCGAUGUUACACUAGCUAACAAAAGUUAGUUUAUUUAAAUUUCAGGGAUAAAACAUAUAGGUGGAGAUUUGUUCAAAAGUAUUCCUGAGGCAGAUACUAUUUUUAUGAAGGUUUAUAUUUUUUUAUAUCACUUGAAAUCAUCAUAAGGAAAAAUUAAAUAGAGAGAAUGACACUUUUCUCCCUAUUGUUUUUGAGUUAAGAUGUAUCCUAACCCUGUUGCUCACUUGGUAUUAGAACUUUGAUAGAAAAAUUCAAAGGGAUAAUAGGAUAUUAUGAAAACUAUUAAAAGAAAAAAAAUGGUGAAACUCAAAACUAUAUAUACAAGGAAAGUGUCAACAACUCUCUUUUUUUCUUCAAUGGUAAAAUGGGUGGGCAAAGCCCAAAUUAACUAAUUAUUGAUCCCAUAUCUCCCUUGAGUUCAAACUUGGGUGACAGUUAAAUAAAAUUGAUUGAAAACAAUUCGAUCAGGCACCUCGGGUGGAAAAUAUCAAUCUCUCUUCUUUAUGAAUGCUUUGUUCAAUCACAUAAAUUGAUCAUAGAUAUCCGGAUAGAACAAAUGAGAAUUAAUAUGAAUACAUGGAACUUUUGCAGUGGAUGCUUCAUAGUUUUGAUGAUGAACAAGCCUUGAAAGUGUUGAAGAAUUGUUAUAAAGCUCUUCCAUAUGGUGGGAAGCUGCUUAAUAUUAAUUCGACAAUUUCGGAAAUGCCUGGGAAUAAUGUAGCUUCAAGGGAAAUCUCUAUUUUGGAUACGGUUUUGUUAGUCCAACUUCCUCAUGGAAGAGAGCGGACCAAACAAGAGUACACUGAAUUGGCAGUCAAAGCUGGAUUUAAAGGUGUCAACUAUGAUUAUGGUGCGUGCAAUUUAUAUGUUAUGGAAUUCUUCAAAUAAAUUGCAUACUUAAUUUCAUUUUGGAAAGAUCUUCUCAACCCUUGGGGAGUUUCCAAUUUCCUAUUUGUGUUAAUUAUUUUCUCUUUUGCUUGGCCUUGGGGCUUGUCUUAUGUACUUUCUUUCAUCUUAUGAAAAUAAUACGUCUCUUAGAAAGAGAUUGAUGGCUGUAUUUGGUACUUCUUAUGUAAUCUUUUUCAGUUCAUACAUUCAGCAUGUGAUUUUUGGUUUAUUAUUGAGGCAAAAAAGAAGUAUUUUUAUCUUGCCUUACUAUUAUUAUUAUUUUUUUGUUCAUUUCAAAGUUGAAAAAAUCAGUAAUGUAUAACUUUUUUAUCAUUUAAAGUAAGAACAUUUGACUUUUGAAAGAGUAGUUAUAGAGAACUCAUUCUAUGCCAUCUCAACCUCACACAAGAGUAAUUAAAACUAGAGCUAAUGUUAAAGUAGUUCUAAAUUUUGAAUUCAUUACAAACUUAUCCUAAAAAUUUGCCUUAGUGGAGUUUAUGUGUGGUACUGGUGUUUAUUUCAUUUUUAUUUCUAAAAACAUAGUAAAUUAAGUGCACCACUAAGUGAACCAGAUGAAGACUGAAAAUUAUUGAAAAAUGGAUUGUGGAGAUUUGGUUUUUCAUCAAACAACUACUAAGAGCUAAUAUUGCUCGAUGGAAAAAGAAAAAAAAUCUGAAUAUUAUGAUUAUCUUUGAAAGGUACAUAGUGAAUAGAGAAAAAAAAAAGAAAAAAAUUUGAGUUCCUUUAUUGGACGAGUAUUUUGAUUAGGAGAAAUUUUAUAAUGUUGUAAUUAAAAUGAUGGUAUCAAUGCCGUGAUAAAUAUGAAUUUUGUAAAUUACGCAUAAGACUGGUAAAUGAAAAGUAAAAUAAGUAAAUUAAUAUAAGAGUGGUAAAUUGGCGUCUUAAAACUACAAACUAAACAAAUAUUUAUAAAAAUAACAUAAAACUUGUAAAUCAACAUUAAACUUUAAUUAAAAAAAUAAUUUAUUCAUUUAAUUUACAUAAAUGAUGAAAAAAUCACUCAUCAAUUGAAAAAAUAUAUAUUUAAAACAAUUGCAAUAAGUUUUAUUGUAUUGGUUUAACUAUAUAUUCUAUAUUCAUUCUUCGACAUAAAAAAAAAUGAAUCUUUUAAAAAAAAAUGAAUCUUUUUCUAUCUAUAGUAUUUGAUACUACACAUGUUAAUUAAGCAAAAAUUUUUUUUUUUUUACGUGAAUCAAGCAAAAAAAAAAAAGAUUUUCUUAUAUUACUAGAUGUACAUGAUAUAUCAAUAAAAUUGGAUCUAAUUUUUAGUGCUAUAUAUACUUCAUGUAAUUUUAAACUAUGUUUCUUAUUGUACUUAAAGAUUAUUUGGGUUUACGGUCAAGGAGGCUUAAAAGGAUAUAACAUCACCUUAUUUUACAAGCAGUGAGGUUUGAAAGUCUAACUUUCAGGAUAUGUUUAUCAUUCUUAUAUUACUAGAUGUACAUGACAUAUCAAUAAAAUUGGAUCUAAUUUUUAGUGUUAUACAUAUUUCAUGUAAUUUUAAACUAUGUUUCUUAUUGUACUUAAAGAUCAUUUGGGUUUACGGUCAAGGAAGCUUAAAAGCAUACAACAUCACCUUAUGUUACAAGCAGUGAGGUUUGAAAGUCUAACUUUCAGGAUAGAUUUAUCAUUAAUAAAAUUUCACAUAUGUCAUCACAUAUAUUAUACAACCUCAUAAUGUGACAAUUAGCUUAUAUAUUUACUAAUUUUGAUUCUAAAUUGAGUUUAGAAUCAAAAUUAUGAGCUAAUAGUCACAUUAUGAGUUUUUAUUUUAUAUUUGUAAGUUUUUAUUUUUUUAAUAACUCUUAUAUUAAGGUACUUGUUUUACCUUCUAUUUACAAGUAUUACAUUCUAUUUAUAUCAUUUAUAUUUUAUUUUAUGAUUAAUGUGGAUUUACCACUUCUAUGUUACAUGUAUAAGUUUUAUUUUAUUUAUCAAUAAUAUAAUGAUUUAUCACUUUUAGGUUAAUUUAUUUGUUUUACCUUCUAUUUACAAGUUUUAUGUCCCAUUUACUUUUUUAUGUUUUAUUUACACUUUAAUGUUAAUUUACAAGUUUUAUACUAUAUGAAUAAGUUUUUGUUUUAUUUACUAAUGAUACACCAAUUAACUACUCCUAUAUUAGUUUACUUAUUUUACCUUCUAUUUACAAAUCUUGUAUUCUAUUUAACACAAAUGUUGGCAUGAGAUUCCUGACAUAUUUCUAAAAUCAAAAUAAGAUGCAUAGAGGACAAUAAUUUUAUUUCAUAAUUAAAAUUUUUGUAAAGAAAGUUUGAAUAUGAGAGGGGUGAGAGAUGAGAAUAUUGACGAUGGUGUGUACUUUGGAUGGAAAAAUAGAUUGAAAAUAUAUAUAGACAUAUUAAAAGAAAAAAAUAUGAUCUAUACCUCAAGAGAAAUAAGAAAUUAUAAAUGCAGGUGGUCAAAUGUAUUUAUAAUUUAUAAUUUUUUAUAAAUAUGAUAAUCAUUAGACCAAUAUAAAAGUCUAGCAAAAAGUUUAAAUUUUUUUAAUAAAUGUAGAAGAGAUGGACGAAGAAACCAGCCAACAGUUCAGAAUUAACAAUUAAAGAUAUGAGGACUUGAUCGAAGAAAUGUGAAAAAUAAAAGGACACUGGGUUGGUUAGCGGGACCCUAAUUUAAUGGUAAAAAAUAAAAGGACACUGGGUUGCUAUCAAUUUCUACGGUGUGGUACGUUCAUAGCCGGGGAAGUAAUUGUAUUAGCGGGACCCUAACAUUAAUAAAAGGACACUGGGUUGUUUAGCGGGACCCUAAUAUUAAUGGUAAAAAAUAAAAGGAAACUGAGUUGGUAUCAAUUUCUACGGUGUAGGUUCAUAGCCGGGGAAGUAAUUAUAUUAGCGGGACCCUAAUAUUAAUGGAGACCUAAUAUUAAUGAUAAAAAAUAAAAGGACACUGGGUUACAAUCAAUUUCUACAGAGUGGGUUCAUAGCCGGAGAAGUAAUUGGGCACAAAUAUCAUGGUGAACACGGAUGAGAAAUAACCAUUUUAUCCCCGCAACUUUAUGUUUAUGGCCUCUAAAAAUUUUCACCUCUUUCACUUCUGGAACCCGCGCUUUCUGGCACAUGCACAAUACUUGGUUGCGACUUAUAGAGAGUUUUAGAAUUGCAACGACAUGGUGCUCUUUGAUAAUUCAAAAAUCCAAUAGAAUUUAUAGAGAAUUACAGAAUUGUGGUACGUGAUAAUUUGCUGAUGCAGUGAGGGGCCGAAAUUCUUGUACAUGUGAUUAAGUUAUAGAUGUAUAAUUAAGUAAUUAGCAAGCACUAAUUGGGGGUAUUUGUGUCCAUGAAAAUUUACAGUUGGUUGUUGACAUUAUACUGUGGGUGCGUAAGUGCAAUCACGAUCUGACCAUUCAAAUUAAAAAAUGGGGGUCCCACUAAUUAUAAAGUUUGUAAUUAUCACAUAUACAGAUAUGGUCGCAUAUGAAAAUCUUAUCAUAAAUUGAAUGGAUUCGAUGACUUAAUUGAAGUUAUGAACGGAUAUUUAAAUAAAAGAAAAUUUAUAAUAAAGAAAAGUAUUAAUUUGUUGUGAAUGUAACUUAUAUAAGCUGUAAGUUAGCGGGACUCUUCAAAUAAUUCUAAUAUUUUGAUUUUUAAUUCUUAUAUUUAAAAAAAUAUCUUUUGUAGUUAAAUAUAUUUUUUUUUUAUCCUUACUUUUACUUUACUUUUAUAAUAAUAGCCUUCUAAUUUUUUUUAACAUUAAUUAAGUUAUUUAUAAAAUUUUAAUUAUAAAAUUUACUAAUAAUUAUUUAUUAAUAAAUUAACUAAUAAAUAUCAGUAUGAAAGAACUAAUAUUUUUUUAACCCAUGCAAUAAUCUUGCAAAUAAUUUUUUUAUAAAUAAAAAUUAAUAUCAACUAACUUAAAGUGGUGUUUAAUAUCCUUACAAUAAUUAUAUUAAUAUUAAUUUAUAAAAAAUUAAUUUACUAAAUUAAUCUUAAAACUAAAUUAAUAACAUAAAAAUUUAUAAAACUAAUUAUUUUACUUUUCAUCGGCUGCAAUUUGUUGAAACUUGGGUGAAGACAAAUUGAGAUCUUAGAAAUCUCCAAUGAGAUAAUAAAAUAUAAUAUAUAUGUUAGGUCUUUGUUUUUUUUUUUUUUUUUUGGUUUAAACCACCCGAUUUCCGACGACCGCAUUGGGCCCCGACUAAUUCGGAUUCGGGGUGUAGUCACAGUUAAGGCUCUUUACCCCUCCCAAAUGGUGUGUUUAGUAGGGAUCAAACCCGAGAGCUCUUUCCACUUACCCAACCUGCGUCGCCAACUGAACCACAACCGUUUGAUUAGGUCUUUGUUCUUUAGAGAAUAGAUCCUAUUGAAAUUUGAACACGAAUAUCGAUUACUCACAAAUAAAAUAAAUUUGCUGAGGCGGCUCGACUAAGACGUACGGGCAGCAUAAUUAAGUCCUCAUAACUCUCAAGUGCAGGCAUCAAAAAAUCAAAACUGAGAAUGACUGGUGAUAUAUAUAUAUAUAUAUAUAGACACCUCAAGCAAUUAAGAAAGAAGCAAAUUAUAAUCAUGGCUUCUAUAGCUGAUCAGGAAGAAGAGACAAAUAAUUUCUCACAUGCAAUGGGACUUGCAAGUGCAAUAGUGCUACCUGCAGUUAUGCAAGCAGUGGUAGAGCUUGAUGUGUUUGAGAUCAUAAGCAAAGCCGGUCCUGGUGCUAAGCUUUCGGUUGCGGAGAUUGUGGCUCAAAUUCCCUUAAAAGAUAAUAAUCCUGAAGCUGCAGCCACGACGUUGGAUCGGGUGCUGAGGCUGCUUGUCAGCUACAACGCUCUUCAUUGCUCUUUUGUCGAUGGACAAAGGCUCUACUCUCUUGCUCCUGUUUCUAAACACUUUGUUCGCAACAAUCGAGACGGCGUGUCGUUGCGUCCCUACAUGGCCUUGUGUCUCGACAAGAUCUGCUUGGAUGGCUGGUACAUAGAACUGCUUCUUUUCUUUACCGUUUCAGUAAAUCGAUCAUUUUCAUUCUCAUGAUUUAAAAUCGAUUAAACUCUGUUAAAAAGAUAUUUAAUUUUCAGUUAAUUUACCUUUAAUGUUAUAAAUGACACAAAAAGUUGAAAGUUAAUAAUUUCUUUUUUUUUUAAUGACGGAGGAUUCUCAAAUAUGAAAACAAAAAUGAUUGAUUUUAACGAACAACAACGUUUUUUUUUUUUUUUUUUAUCGUUUCUCGACAAAAAUUAGUUUUUCGAAUUUCAAGGUUAAUUGUGUGGUCUAAUUUUUGAAUCACCAGCACCAAACCAAGCUUCUGAAAUAGUUACCAACUGUGUUUGGAUUUUGAAAAAUUCAGGUUUGGAUUGAAAAAGCAAAUUCUUGAAGGAGGAAUUGCGUUUAAUAAAGCGCACGGAAUGCAAAUCUAUGAUUACUUAGGCGUCGACUCAAGGUUCAAUGAUGUUUUCAACAAUGGAAUGUUAAGUCACACUUCUAUUGUCAUGGAGAAGGUCCUAGAAUCAUACAAAGGCUUUGAGCAUGUUAAAAAGCUUGUGGAUGUUGGCGGUGGCUUGGGGAUCACUCUUAAUAUGAUAAUUUCGAAAUACCCUCAUAUUAAGGGUAUUAAUUAUGACUUACCUUAUGUUAUUAAAGAUGCCCCAUCUUAUUCAGGUACUUUAUUUAUAAAAUCUGUAUAACAUAUUUGUUAAUGAUUCAUCGAUGCUACACUAGCUAACAAAAGUUAGUUUAUUUAAAUUUCAGGGAUAGAACAUAUCGGUGGAGAUUUGUUCGAAAGUAUUCCUGAGGCAGAUACUAUUUUUAUGAAGGUUUAUAUUUUCUUAUAUCACUUGAAAUCAUCAUAAGGAAAAAUUAAAUAGAGAGAAUGACAUUUUUCUCCCUAUUGUUUUUGAGUUAACACGUACCCUAACCAUGUUACUCACUUGGUAUUAGAACUUUGAUAGAAAAAUUCAAAGGGAUAAUAAGAUAUUAUGAAAACUAUUAAAAGAAAAAAAAAGGUAAAACUCAAAACUAUAUAUACAAGGAAAGUGUCAACAACUCUCUUUUUUUCUUCAAUGGUAAAAUGGGUGGGCAUAGCCCAAAUUAACUAAUUAUUGAUCCCAUAUCUCCCUUGAGUUCAAACUUGGGUGACAAUUAAAUAAAAUUGAUUGAAAACAAUUCGAUCAGGCACCUCGGGUGGAAAGUAUCAAUCUCUCUUCUUUAUGAAUGCUUUGUUCAAUCACAUAAAUUGAUCAUAGAUAUCCGGAAAAGAACAAAUGAGAAUUAAUAUGAAUACAUGGAACUUUUGCAGUGGAUGCUUCAUAGUUUUGAUGAUGAACAAGCCUUGAAAGUGUUGAAGAAUUGUUAUAAAGCUCUUCCAGAUGGUGGGAAGCUGCUUAAUAUUAAUUCGACAAUUUCGGAAAUGCCUGGGAAUAAUGUAGCUUCAAGGGAAAUCUCUAUUUUGGAUACGGUUUUGUUAGUCCAACUUCCUCAUGGAAGAGAGCGGACCAAACACGAGUACACUGAAUUGGCAGUCAAAGCUGGAUUUAAAGGUGUCAACUAUGAUUAUGGUGCGUGCAAUUUAUAUGUUAUGGAAUUCUUCAAAUAAAUUGCAUACUUAAUUUCAUUUUGGAAAGAUCUUCUCAACCCUUGGGGAGUUUCCAAUUUCCUAUUUGUGUUAAUUAUUUUCUCUUUUGCUUGGCCUUGGGGCUUGUCUUAUGUACUUUCUUUCAUCUUAUGAAAAUAAUACGUCUCUUAGAAAGAGAUUGAUGGCUGUAUGUGGUACUCCUUAUGUAAUCUUUUUCAGUUCAUACGUUCAGCAUGUGAUUUUUGGUUUAUUAUUGAGGCAAAAAAGAAGUAUUUUUAUCUUACCUUACUAUUAUUAUUAUUAUUUUUUGUUCAUUUCAAAGUUGAAAAAAUCAGUAAUGUAUAACUUUUUUAUCAUUUAAAGUAAGAACAUUUGACUUUUGAAAGAGUAGUUAUAGAGAACUCAUUAUAUGCCAUCUCAACCUCACACAAGAGUAAUUAAAACUAGAGCUAAUGUUAAAGUAGUUCUAAAUUUUGAAUUCAUUACAAACUUAUCCUAAAAAUUUGCCUUAGUGGAGUUUAUGUGUGGUACUGGUGUUUAUUUCAUUUUUAUUUCUAAAAAUAUAGUAAAUUAAGUGCACCACUAAGUGAACCAGAUGAAGACUGAAAAUUAUUAAAAAUGGAUUGUGGAGAUUUGGUUUUUCAUCAAACAACUACUAAGAGCUAAUAUUGCUCGAUGGAAAAAGAAAAAAGAAAACAAAUCUGAAUAUUAUGAUUAUCUUUGAAAGGUGCAUAGUGAAUAGAGAAAAAAAAAAAGAAAAAAUUUUGAGUUCCUUUAUUGGACGAGUAUUUUGAUUAGGAGAAAUUUUAUAAUGUUGUAAUUAAAAUGAUGGUAUUAAUGCCGUGAUAAAUAUGAAUUUUGUAAAUUACGCAUAAGACUAGUAAAUGAAAAGUAAAAUAAGUAAAUUAAUAUAAGAAUGGUAAAUUGGCGUCUUAAAACUACAAACUAAACAAAUGCUUAUAAAAAUAACAUAAAACUUGUAAAUCAACAUUAAACUUUAAUUAAAAAAAUAAUUUAUUCAUUUAAUUUACAUAAAUGAUGAAAAAAUCACUCAUCAAUUGAAAAAAAAAAACUAUUUAAAACAAUUGUAAUAAGUUUUUAUUGUAUUGGUUUAACUAUAUGUUCUAUAUUCAUUCUUGCACAUUAAAAAAACGAAUCUUUAAAAAAAAAUGAAUCUUUUUCUAUCUAUAGUAUUUGAUACUACACAUGUUAAUUAAGCAAAAAUUAUUUUUUUUUGACGUGAAUCAAGCAAAAAAAAAAAAAGAUUUUCUUAUAUGACUAGAUGUACAUGAUAUAUCAAUAAAAUUGGAUCUAAUUUUUAGUGUUAUAUAUACUUCAUGUAAUUUUAAACUAUGUUUCUUAUUGUACUUAAAGAUCAUUUGGGUUUACGGUCAAGGAGGCUUAAAAGGAUACAACAUCACCUUAUUUUACAAACAGUGAGGUUUGAAAGUCUAACUUUCAGGAUAUGUUUAUCAUUCUUAUAUUACUAGAUGUACAUGACAUAUCAAUAAAAUUGGAUCUAAUUUUUAGUGUUAUAUAUAUUUCAUGUAAUUUUAAACUAUGUUUCUUAUUGUACUUAAAGAUCAUUUGGGUUUACGGUCAAGGAGGCUUAAAAGCAUACAACAUCACCUUAUUUUACAAGCAGUGAGGUUUGAAUGUCUAACUUUCAGGAUAGGUUUAUCAUUAAUAAAAUUUCACAUAUGUCAUCACAUAUAUUAUACAACCUCAUAAUGUGACAAUUAGCUUAUAUAUUUACUAAUUUUGAUUCUAAAUUGAGUUUAGAAUCAAAAUUAUGAGCUAAUAGUCACAUUAUGAGUUUUUAUUUUAUAUUUGUAAGUUUUUAUUUUUACAUUAAGGUACUUGUUUUACCUUCUAUUUACAAGUAUUACAUUCUAUUUACAUCAUUUAUAUUUUAUUUUAUGAUUAAUGUUGAUUUACCACUUCUAUGUUACAUGUAUAAGUUUUUAUUUUGUUUAUCAAUAAUAUAAUGAUUUAUGACUUUUAUGUUAAUUUAUUUGUUUUACCUUCUAUUUACAAGUUUUAUGUCCCAUUUACUUUUAUUUACACUUUAAUGUUAAUUUACAAAUUUUAUAUUAUAUGUAUAAGUUUUUGUUUUAUUUACUAAUGAUACACCAAUUAACUACUCCUAUAUUAAUUUACUUAUUUUACCUUCUAUUUACAAAUCUUGUAUUCUAUUUAACACAAAUGUUGGCAUGAGAUUCCUGACAUAUUUCUAAAAUCAAAAUAAGAUGCAUAGAGGAUGAUCAUUUUAUUUCAUAAUUAAAAUUUUUGUAAAGAAAGUUUGAAUAUGAGAGGGGUGAGAGAUGAGAAUAUUGACGAUAGUGCGUACUUUGGAUGGAAAAAUAGAUUGAAAAUAUAUAUAGACAUAUUAAAAGAAAAAAAUCUGAUCUAUACCUCAAGAGAAAUAAGAAAUUAUAAAUGCAGGUGGUCAAAUGUAUUUAUAAUUUAUAAUUUUUUAUAAAUAUGAUAAUCAUUAGACCCAUAUAAAAGUAUAGCAAAAUGUUUAAAUUUUUUUUAAUAAAUGUAGAAGAGAUGGACGAAGAAAACAGCCACCAGUUCAGAAUUAACAAUCAAAGAUAUGAGGACUUGAUCGAAGAAAUGUGAAAAAUAAAAGGACACUGGGUUGGUUAGCGGGACCCUAAUUUAAUGGUAAAAAAUAAAAGGACACUGGGUUGCUAUCAAUUUCUACGGUGUGGUAGGUUCAUAGCAGGGGAAGUAAUUAUAUUAGCGGGACCCUAACAUUAAUAAAAGGACACUGGGUUGUUUAGCGGGACCCUAAUAUUAAUGGUAAAAAAUAAAAGGAAACUGAGUUGGUAUCAAUUUCUACGGUGUAGGUUCAUAGCCGGGGAAGUAAUUAUAUUAGCGGGACCCUAAUAUUAAUGGAGACCUAAUAUUAAUGAUAAAAAAUAAAAGGACACUGGGUUACAAUCAAUUUCUACAGAGUGGGUUCAUAGCCGGAGAAGUAAUUGGGCACAAAUAUCAUGGUGAACACGGAUGAGAAAUAACCAUUUUAUCCCCGCAACUUUAUGUUUAUGGCCUCUAAAAAUUUUCACCUCUUUCACUUCUGGACCCGCGCUUUCUGGCACAUGCACGAUACUUGGUUGCGACUUAUAGAGAGUUUUAGAAUUGCAACGACAUGGUGCUCUUUGAUAAUUCAAAAAUCCAAUAGAAUUUAUAGAGAAUUACAGAAUUGUGGUACGUGAUAAUUUGCUGAUGCAGUGAGGGGCCGAAAUUCUUGUACAUGUGAUUAAGUUAGAGAUGUAUAAUUAAGUAAUUAGCAAGCACUAAUGGGGGGUAUUUGUGUCCAUGAAAAUUUACGGUUGGUUGUUGACAUUAUACUGUGGGUGCGUAAGUGUAAUCACGAUCUGACCAUUCAAAUUAAAAAAUGGGGGUCCCACUAACUAUAAAGUUAAUAAUUAUCACAUAAACAGGGGGAAUUUUAGGUGCAACUGUGACACCGUGCCACAGUUGCACCUAGUCAUUGGAUGUCAGUAGACUCUAUUACUCCAACUGCAUCCAACGGUUAGAUGCAAUUGUGGCACGGUGCCACAGUUACACCGUAGCCUGAUCCCAUAUACAGAUAUGGUCGCAUAUGAAAAUCUUAUCAUAAAUUGAAAGGAUUCGAUGACUUAAUUGAAGUUAUGAACGGAUAUUUAAAUAAAAGAAAAUUUAUAAUAAAGAACAAGUAUUAAUUUGUUAUGAAUGUAACUUAUAUAAGCUGUAAGUUAGCGGGACUCUUCAAGUAAUUCUAAUAUUUUGAUUUUUAAUUUUUAUAUUUUAAAAAAUAUCUUCUGUAGUUAAAUAUAUUUUAUUUUUAUCCUUACUUUUACUUUACUUUUACAAUAAUAGCCUUCUAAAAAUUUUUUAACAUUAAUUAAGUUAUUUAUAAAAUUUUAAUUAUAAAAUUAACUAAUAAUUAUUUAUUAAUAAAUUAACUAAUAAAUAUCAGUACGAAAGAACUAAUAUUUUUUUAACCCAUGCAAUAAUCUUGCAAAUAAUUUUUUUAUAAAUAAAAAUUAAUAUCAACUAACUUAAAGUGGUUUUUAAUAUCCUUACAAUAAUUAUAUUAAUAUUUAUUUAUAAAAAAUUAAUUUGCCAAAUUAAUCUUAAAACUAAAUUAAUAACAUAAAAAUUUAUAAAACUAAUUAUUUUACUUUUCAUCGGCUGCAAUUUGUUGAAACUUGGGUGAAGACAAAUUGAGAUCUUAGAAAUCUCCAAUGAGAUAAUAAAAUAUAAUACAUAUGUUAGGUCUUUGUUCUUUAGGGAAUAGAUCCUAUUGAAAUUUGAACACGAAUAUCGAUUACUCACAAAUAAAACAAAUUUGCUGAGGCGGCUCGACUAAGACGUACGGGCAGCAUAAUUAAGUCCUCAUAACUCUCAAGUGCAGGCAUCAAAAAAUCAAAACUGAGAAUGACUGGUGAUAUAUAUAUAUAUAUAUAUAUAUAUAUAGACACCUCAAGCAAUUAAGAAAGAAGCAAAUUAUAAUCAUGGCUUCUAUAGCUGAUCAGGAAGAAGAGACAAAUAAUUUCUCACAUGCAAUGGGACUUGCAAGUGCAAUAGUGCUACCUGCAGUUAUGCAAGCAGUGGUAGAGCUUGAUGUGUUUGAGAUCAUAAGCAAAGCCGGUCCUGGUGCUAAGCUUUCGGUUGCGGAGAUUGUGGCUCAAAUUCCCUUAAAAGAUAAUAAUCCUGAAGCUGCAGCCACGACGUUGGAUCGGGUGCUGAGGCUGCUUGUCAGCUACAACGCUCUUCAUUGCUCUUUUGUCGAUGGACAAAGGCUCUACUCUCUUGCUCCUGUUUCUAAACACUUUGUUCGCAACAAUCGAGACGGCGUGUCGUUGCGUCCCUACAUGGCCUUGUGUCUCGACAAGAUCUGCUUGGAUGGCUGGUACAUAGAACUGCUUCUUUUCUUUACCGUUUCAGUAAAUCGAUCAUUUUCAUUCUCAUGAUUUAAAAUCGAUUAAACUCUGUUAAAAAGAUAUUUAAUUUUCAUUUAAUUUACCAUUAAUGUUAUAAAUGACACAAAAAGUUGAAAGUUAAUAAUUUCUUUUUUUUUAAUGACGGAGGAUUCUCAAAUAUGAAAACAAAAAUGAUUGAUUUUAACGAACAACAACGUUUUUUUUUUUUUUUUUUUAUCGUUUCUCGACAAAAAUUAGUUUUUCGAAUUUCAAGGUUAAUUGUGUGGUCUAAUUCUUGAAUCACCAGCACCAAACCAAGCUUCUGAAAUAGUUGCUAACUGUGUUUGGAUUUUGGAAAAUUCAGGUUUGGAUUGAAAAAGCAGAUUCUUGAAGGAGGAAUUGCGUUUAAUAAAGCGCACGGAAUGCAAAUCUAUGAUUACCUAGGCGUCGACUCAAGGUUCAAUGAUGUUUUCAAUAAUGGAAUGUUAAGCCACACUUCUAUUGUCAUGGAGAAGGUCCUAGAAUCAUACAAAGGCUUUGAGCAUGUUAAGAAGCUUGUUGAUGUUGGCGGCGGCUUAGGAACUACCCUGAACAUGAUAAUUUCCAAAUACCCUCAUAUUAAGGGUAUUAAUUAUGAUCUGCCUUAUGUCAUUAAAGAUGCCCCAUCUUAUCCUGGUAUGUUAUUUACAAAAUUUAUAUAGUAUGUUGGGUAAUGAUUUAUUGAUGCUACCCUAACUAAAAGAUGUGAAUUUAUUUAAAUUUCAGGCAUCGAACACGUGGGUGGAGAUUUAUUCGAAAAUGUUCCUGAGGCGGAUACCAUUUUCAUGAAGGUUUUUUCUCUCUAUCUAUAUAUAUAACUUUGAAAUGAUAAUUAUCAAGAGAAUGACAAUUUUCUCCUUACUGCUUUUGAGUUUUACAAUUUACUCAUUUGACGUCAAUUUUUUCAUUGAAAAACUCAAAAGGAUAACAAGAUAUUAUGAAAAUCGAAAAAAAAACAAUAAAACUCAAAAAUAGUAUACCGGAAAAAGUGUAAAUCUAUCUUGUCUAUGAAUUGAUAAUUGAUAUUCAAUUACAACUAAUUAAUGAGAAUUGAUAUGUAUAUGAAUUUUUUUUUGCAGUGGAUGCUUCACAAUUUUGAUGAUGAGCAAACUUUGAAAUUGUUGAAGAAUUGUUACAAAGCUCUUCCAGAUGGUGGGAAGCUGCUCAAUAUUAAUUCAACAAUUUCAGAAGUGCCUCAAAAUAGUGCGGCUUCAAGGGAAAUCUCUAUUUUGGAUACAAUUUUGUUGAUCCAAAUUCCUCAUGGAAGAGAGCGCACCAAACAAGAAUACAAUGAAUUGGCAAUUAAAGCUGGAUUUAAAGGUGUCAGCUACGAAUGUGGUGUAUGUAAUUUAUAUGUUAUGGAGUUCUUGAAAUAGAUUGCUUUUUUCUCUAUUCGGAAAGAUCUCCUUAGCUUUCUUGGGUUGUUUUCAAUUUCCGGUUUGUCUUGUUAUCUCUUUCCUUUGGAUUGAGGGCUUCUCUUAUGUAAUCUCUUUCGUUUUAUCAAUAAUAAAUCUCUUAUAGGGAGAUUGAUUCCCGUAUAAGGCAGCUCUUGCGUCAUCUCUUUCAUGAAUCAUGUUAUCAAUAAUACACCUUAUUGAAGAUGCC
rnacentral:lncRNA from 1 species